rnacentral:rRNA from 1 species
AGUGCUAAGAGAAUGAUUUAACAAUUAAAGGCUUUCUUUAAUUUAAUAAUUGAAUUUAAUUUUUUAGUGCAAAAGCAAAAAUUAUAAUUAGGGACAAGAAGACCCUAUGAAUUUUUUAUUUUUUUAUAAUAAAUUUAUUAUAAGAAAAUUUAAUUGGGGUGAUGAAAAAAGAAUAAAUAUCUUUUUGGUGUACAAAAAUUUAGUUCCGUUUUUAACGAUUAUAUGAAAAAAAUACUCUAGGGAUAACAGCGUAAUAAUUUUGGAUAGUUCAUAUAGAUAAAAUAGUUUGCGACCUCGAUGUUGGAUUAGGAUUCUUUUUCGGUGAAGAAGUUGAAAAGAAGAAGUUUGUU